GCGGGUGUAGCUCAGUUGGUUAGAGCGCCGGCCUGUCACGCCGGAGGU
rnacentral:tRNA from 1 species